AUAAAAGAAAUGUAUUUCUUUUAAUUAAGUUCAUUUUUUAUUAAAAAAUAAAAAUUUUCUAAGGAAAUCUAUUUAAUAAAAGAUUAGUUAUUGUCUUUAUUAAACGCAUAAUGGGCUUAAAAAUUGUUCUCAAUACAUUAAAUAAAAGUAAGGCAUUAUUCGGGUUACUAAAAGGAACUUGGACUCGUGUAAAACAAUUAUCUUUGAAAAAAUGUAAGUAAUUAAAAUUAAAACUAAAAGUUUGUAGCUUAAUUCUUUAAUGAACUUUAGCAACUAAUAAAAAGAACAGUGUAUGGACAUAUAGUAAAAAUCAAUUACCUAAUCCAAAACAAUCAGACCACGAAAAAAGUCCUAAAGUUCAUAGCAAUAAUAAACUCGAAAUUAAGAAAACGAUAAAAGAAGAGAUAGUCAAUUUGACGAUUCCAUCAAAUCUUGAUGAGCUUAAAAUAUAUUCUUGGACUAUGGUUUUCAACACUUUAAAAUCAACCCAAAGUGUUGAAAAAGUUGUAGAAACUCCUACGCAAAAGAACCGAGAGCCAAAGAAACCACUGUUUAGUCUACCUACUGAAGCUAAACAUGUUUUGCCAGUGUGUCGUGGUAUUAAAAACCAAGGGGCCACUUGUUACUUAAAUGCUUUCAUCCAAGUCAUGUUCCAUACGCCGGAAUUUCG